rnacentral:lncRNA from 1 species
UGAAGUUGGAAUGGACGCUUCCGCCUGGCGAGGGCCACAUCUCUAGUAUCAUGGGUUCUGGAUCUUAAGCUUGGGACAUUAUUGGGCUCUUAAAUCAAGCCCACUCAACUGAACUAAACCGAUUUCAUAAAAAGUCAAACCCAGGCCAAACAUUAAAAAGCUGAGUCAAGCCCGUCCCAAAUCAAACCCAACGUGCAAAGAUUUUUAACCUCACCUUGUCGAGGAAAUAACCAACGCAUGAACAGAAACAAUGGAAACGUACGGAAGGAAAAUGAUGUUGUUGAAAGCUUAUCUCUGGGCACCAUUGAAUGCUUCACUAACUCCUGGCCAUUCCUCACACAUUACCACCACAGAGCCAUCAUCAUAACAAGCUCUGCUGCAACCGCGAAACAUAUAUAAAAGAAAACGUUCAGAUUCGAUUUUGUUAACAAAGAAAUCUAACUGAAAACGUACUCAGCAAUUAAUAGAAAAUUCCUUUCACAUGAAACAUGUUCACAAGUGUUGCAACCCUCUCAAAGCACAUCCGACAGCAAGGUCUGAACCUUUUGAGGGGUUUAGAGGCAUUACUCAUAAGACGGUCCAAAUAAUCUCUCGAUUAUGAGUACAGGCUCUCCCCAACCAUUCUCCCUUGUAACAUUUGGAGAUUUCAUUUUUUAAGUCCUUUUUAGCCUAAUUAAAUCCUAGAGUUCCCACUAGCAAUUUGAAUAGGCUAAAAACCAUAUCAAAUACGGGAGGUUUGACUCAUUUUCUACGCAACUAGAGAUUCUAAAUACGAGAAUUGGAUUACGCUAAUAUUUAUAUUAAUGCCCUUUUGGUGCCUCUAACUCGGAAGGCCGUUGCCUAAGUGGUUAUGCAUUGUUUUUACCAUUUUACUCUUUUUGCAUUUUUCCUCUUACCUUCUGCCUUUUAUUCUAUUAUUUCUUUUGUUCCCAUCAUCUUCCUCCUUCCUCAGAUGGACGAGCCUCUGCCCUGGACUUCUCAGAACUUCCAUCGAUAAAACCCCAAAGGUGCAUUAAACCAAACCUACUCCCGCAAAUCUUGUCACUGGCAACAAUCGCUAACCUCCGAUCAUCAAACGAAAUGCCGUUACCAGACCACCACAGUCAACCACUCCCGGCCACCGAAAUUUAUCAUCGCCGGCCACCCCAUGAAGUAGGGCAAAGCACAGAACAGAUGGAAGGGAAGUGAACGCAGCAACAAUCCCAGAAACGACGCAAUAUGGCAGAAGAUGUGAUGUUCAACAACCAUUAAGAAGGCGUCUUAUCACGCAAAACAUAUAGAUAUGCACUCAAGGUAAUUUACAAUCGGGAAUAAACUGACACGGAUUCGGUUCCUGCAUUUCGUCGGACAUGCAGCGUAAGUGGGCUGAGGAGAAGGUAUUGACCAUUUUUAGACCUCGAACUCGGAUCUAGACCCAAAGAAAUCAUCAAGAAACACUCGAAUUCAGCCAUAUCAACUUACUCGAACCCAGCGAAUGGAUCAGAAAAAAUACCAGUCUCGGCCUCCGAUUGGACCAAAAGGGGGCGACGGUUCA